UGCGGAAGGAUCAUUACCAAGAACCACACAGAAAAGGGAGGCAAAGGGGCCUACAGGGCUAGUAGCUUAUACGUUGUUGAACGUCCUGCCUGGACCCGGAGCCGCCCCCAUCUAAACCCUCUGCGUACCUGUCCCUUCUUGCUUCCCCCGGCAUCUCGUCGGGGGGAGGUAACAACCAAAACUCUCUGUGAAUCAAACAGCCGUCAGAAUUAUAAAACAAACAAAAGUUAAAACUUUCAACAACGGAUCUCUUGGUUCCCACAUCGAUGAAGAACGCAGCGAAAUGCGAUAAGUAAUGUGAAUUGCAGAAUUCAGUGAAUCAUCGAAUCUUUGAACGCACAUUGCGCCCCCUGGUAUUCCGGGGGGCAUGCCUGUUCGAGCGUCAUAAAAACCUCCUCCCCCUUCGGGUUUUGUUACUAUCGUUGGGGGGUUUUGGCCUAAUGGGAUAUCGAUUGGCAAUUCGUUUCCCAAUGUCCUAAAUAGACGUAGAUCCGCCUCCAGAUGCGACAGCACCGAGGCCAUCAACCGUGGAGUUAUGGGAUAUAAUAGGCUUGCAGUAAAAUGCUCACCUCUCUCCACACGCCGAUGGCACGACAGUUGCAGUUGCGGGCGUAAAUUGGAGCCCUUUUCAGGACCCUUGUGGCCUAGCAUCCACCAUACAUAAUUUGACCUCGGAUCAGGUAGGGAUACCCGCUGAACUUAAGCAUAUC
rnacentral:rRNA from 1 species